rnacentral:rRNA from 1 species
UGGGGAAUAUUGGGCAAUGGGCGAAAGCCUUACCCAGCAACGCCGCGUGAGGGAAGAAGGUUUUCGGAUUGUAAACCUCUGUCCUGGGGGGACGAAGGAAGUGACGGUACCCCGGGAGGAAGCCCCGGCUAACUACGUGCC